rnacentral:rRNA from 1 species
AUUCCAGCUCCAAUAGCGUAUAUUAAAGUUGUUGCAGUUAAAACGCUCGUAGUCGGAUUUCGGGGCGGCUUCGCCGGUCUGCCGAUGGGUAUGCACUGGCGAGGGCGUCCUUCCUUCCGGAGACUGGCCCUACUCUUAACUGAGCGGGGUCGGGAGUCGGAUCGUUUACUUUGAAAAAAUCAGAGUGUUUCAAGCAGGCAUAUCGUUCUUGCAUGGAUUAGCAUGGGAUAAUGAAAUAGGACUUUGGUGCUAUUUUGUUGGUUUCGAACACCGAAGUAAUGAUUAACAGGGACAGUCAGGGGCACUCGUAUUCCGCCGAGAGAGGUGAAAUUCUCAGACCAGCGGAAGACGAACUACUGCGAAAGCAUUUGCCAGGGAUGUUUUCAUUG